rnacentral:rRNA from 1 species
GAUGAACGCUAGCGGCAGGCUUAACACAUGCAAGUUGAGGGGCAGCGCGGUAGCAAUACUGGCGGCGACCGGCAAACGGGUGCGGAACACGUACUGAACCUACCUUUGUCUGGGGCAUAGCCCGGAGAAAUCCGGAUUAACUCCCCAUAAUAUAGAUGAGUGGCAUCACUUGACUAUUAAAAAUUUAUUGGACAGAGAUGGCAGUGCGUCCCAUUAGCUAGUUGGAGGGUAACGGCCUACCAAGGCGACGAUGGGUAGCUGGUGUGAGAGCACGACCAGCCACACGGGCACUGAGACACGGGCCCGACUCCUACGGGAGGCAGCAGUGAGGAAUAUUGGUCAAUGGACGCAAGUCUGAGCCAGCCAUGCCGCGUGAAGGAUGAAGGCCUUCUGGGUUGUAAACUUCUUUUACCUGGGAAGAAACCUCUGAUUUCUAUUAGAGUUGACGGUACCAGAGGAAUAAGCACGGCUAACUCCGUGCCAGCAGCCGCA